CGUCCCUUACGUAAGGUUUAAAAUGACGACUUUAUAUUUAACAAUCUACCCCCAAAGAUGAUGAGCAUGCAAAAAGUCACUAUUUGCUCUUUUAGUCAAGUCCAAUAAAUCAAAAUCAAGUUCAUCGAGUGCAUUCAAUGUCCAAUUUUAUUUUUUUAACUGGGUUAUGUAACACAUUUUAUUUUUAGCUGAAAGUAUUUACUUAAUCAUUUAAUGAUUGUUGUGUGUACUGAUGUGCAUUCUAUUGAAGGAUGAUUCAAAUUAGCAUAAAUCUGAUUAAAUUUAAACCUAAUUCUUCCUCCUCCUUGUUUUGUGUGUUAGCAGUGACGGAGUGAGCGACGUGCGAAUUUAUUUAUGUUUCAAUGCUUGUUAACCUAAUGCUUUUAAUACUAUUUUCAUGAUUGCAUGUAGACAGAUGCCGACCCAUUAUUCUCUCCCCAUUAUAAAUCGACUUGUAAUUAAACAACAAACUCCAAACUCGUGCUAAAUAAAGACAAGCCUGACUUUAGCAUGUUUCCUUAAUAUCUCUGCAUUGACGGUGUGUCUUAAAACUUAAUUUAAUCCCAAGUGAUAAAAUGAACUGUAAUUAGCAUUUAAUUGAUAGACCAAAUCAAGCUAAUACAUUUAACUUACAAGGGAUACAAAUAAAACAACACGGCCUCGUUAACCACUUUUUCACCACUCAUGACUCACGACCACCUUUGCCAAAACCAACGGGAUAGGAAAAUAAAUUGCGUUUGAUAUAAACGGCAAAUUGGUAAUAAUAAAACAAUACAAAACUCCAUCUAAUAAUAAUUACUCGGUGACAAGAGAAUAAUCGCAACAGUCUUCAAGCCAAGGUGUGAAGAUAAUAAUAACCUUAAUUGUUUCGAAUUCAAAGAAUAGCCGGAAAAUAUAAGCGAUAAGGUUAACUACAAUUCUGUAAAAAUCAGAGGAAAAUAAAAAUGUGGAUAUCCUCUCCCAUCCCCAGUCACAACAUUUACCAUUUUAUUAAUGAACUUGUGGCAUCGUGUAAUAACUCGGUUGGUGGAAAUUAGUUAAACGUGUAAAUAAAAUGUCACCGUAUUUCAAUCGUCGUGAGAGUUUAAAAAUUUCUCAAACUCAAAUAUCAUCGUCACAAUACAAAUUAAUAAUCUAACUUUGCAUCACAACUUUCUUUGUUCAUUUUUCUAUUACACAUCAUCGAUACACCUCAUCGCUUAUGCGCACUUAAUGGUUAAGCAACAACAUUAUUGCCAUUGUUGGCUGUCAUUUAUCGCAUUUAAUAAUUUACUCCUUAAAGGUUAUUCUAAAUGAAUUAAAAUAAUUGUUCUUCAAAACUGUGAUUUAAGUACCUCCGACGACAGAACCACUAUUAAAGGAUUUCUCCACUUCACCGUGUGUAUUAUAAAACAGACUCAAGUUCACAAACUUUUCCCACACGUUGAACAGCAUACUCAUGUGUGUAAUGCAUGUACAUAACAAUUCAAAACAUCCACAACCAAGCAACAAAGUUUUAACGACACGUAACCACGAAGAGAACUUGACAAAAGACAGACUGCAUUUCCUUGCGAGUUUAGCCACUAAAUAAUAAUUACUUAACAAGUGCAUCCUCUCUCAAAGUAAAGAAUUAAUACUUAUCUUUAACUCCCAUUCAUCAAAACUUUUGCUACACAAUGCUACUGACAUGGUACGACAACACUUUCUACCCGCAUUCUCCUCCUCGUCCACUUUAUUCGAUAAUAUAAUAAUCGUAGCAAUAAUCAUACUUGUGAGAGAGAGGACAUCACGGAACGCAACAUGAACAAUGGCAAGUGAUGAAGCCAGUUAGUGGACAAUUUAAAAAGUAAAGAGAGGCUGACUCACGAGUAGAAUGCGAAAUUUGAAGCCGAAUUCAGAGUACAAACAAUAGAAUGCACGUGUCAUGUUCCUCAUAAACAACCACCAGAAGUACAUACAGCCAAGUUUCACCCUCUUGAGCGAAAAAUUUCUAAAUUUUAAUACCUCGUUAUUACGAGAAGGACGCAGACAGAUUAAUGACGGAUUAUAGUGUUUAAAUCCAAUUUUAAGACGAAAUUGUUGUUAAAUAAAUGCGCGGAGUAAUUGUUUGGAGAAAAUAAGAAAAAGUGAUUAACGGAAAUUAUUAAUGGUCUGAUAAAAAUGUUGGUGUACAAAAAAAUUGUUUUUUUCAAACUUUUCUGCUAUGCAUUUGUUUGUAGACACAGCAAGUUAGUUAUUCUUUAGCUUUGACAUUGACCUUGACUUUUCCACCAUUUCAAUUUUGUAUCGUUUGGUCAGCAAGAAAUUUUGCAUCUGAUAGGAUUCAUUGAAAAUUCUGUAUUGUAUUCCUUCACGUUUGAUUGGAAUAAGGGCUCCAACGAAAGGAGAUUGGACGAUCAAGAAAGAUUUUAAUCGUUUGUUUAGUUGAACGAGAGAGAAAGGAUGUGCAGUCACCAUCCUUAUUUCAUGUAAAUUUACUUUGAAUCUAUCUAGCUUUAUUUUGCUAUGUAUUUUACGACCCAUGUCAUCGCCGCAAAUGCAAAAAGUGCUAAACAAUGGAAAAAGGAUGACUUGCAGAAGCAUUGAAAAAUGUUUGAAUUUUCCGUAUUACAGCUUGGGUAAUAAUGUAAAAUUGUACAUAUGCACAUAAAUACUGUAUGUGUAAGUAUAUGAGAUCGUUGUCCGUUCUUAAGUAAAAAAAAAUCCAGCAAUAAAUAUUUAAAAGUGCAACAACAUCUCACUACUACUCCCAUAGUGCUUUCUUCGUGGAUAAGUUUUUGUUCUGGAAUACAACACCACGAGUUAAAUUGUUCUUUCAAUUCAAUCAAACUUCCAAUUGCUACAAUUCUUCCAUCCCUCGAGAACCCUCACUCUUCACCAUCCCUCUUUCGCCCCCUAUAAAAACCGAACAUACUGAACGUGGACCAUUGUGAUGAGACAAUGCAAUUUAAAAGAGAUAUUGUACUCCUACAAGUUUAUACGUAUAUUCCGAAUGUAUUCUACGUCAACAUAAUGGAGGAUGUUAUCUAUCCUUCUAAUUUCAAAGUUGAUUGAAAAUACAAGCCCUCUGCUUCACUUACUCUGCACUUCACAGAGUUAGAAACUGAACUUGUGUUGGCUGAACGAAUCAAUCAGCAGAAAAAGGUAAAACUCAUGACCAGAAGAAGAUGAAGCAGAAGUAAAAGGCAUGAAUGAUGAGAAAACAAUUUCAUCUCUGAACAGCACAGCAGACUCGAUCAACGGUUAAAAUUUCAAUUUCGGAUUCUUGAGAAAAUGUGCAAUGUCCGGAGGAAAUGAAGAGGAGGAUCCACAUGGAAGGAAAUAUGGAGGGAUAAUGGUCAGCUGCAUUCUCCAGAAAGAAGAACGAACCUUAACUUCAAUUGAAAAAACAGAUGUAUAUAUUUAUACAUAUGUCCACUUUUACUCUUACCACAAAAAUUACCCAAUAGACAACCCCUGGUGGUUUGUAAAAGUGGGGAGCUCGUACAAUUUUGUAACGGGAAAGACAGGAAAAAUGUGCGUGGAAGGAAUACUGUUACAUUACCACCAAACUGAAAAAAACAUGAAUUGAAGAAGCUUCAUUUUCCGGUAACGUAUUUAUUCUUUAUCAUACUAUGUAAAUACUUUAGUUCCAGGUGUUGCGGAGAAAAAUUUCUGCGUCAUCCCUUUACAUACGAAGUUUAGCUCAAAAUUAGUCAUAAUGGAAACAAUGAAAUUAGUCAUCUGAAACGUUUUCAAAAGGGCUUAAGUCUAAUUUUUUGCGACCCAGACAAGUUCAUAAUGAGUGGUACCGUGGAAGGCGUCAUAUACUUAAAAAAAUCAAAAGUUAUUUGAUAUUUAUCUCUUUAGUGUCAUAAAUUUUCUAAAAUCUUAAUAGGAUUAUGAUUUUUUGCAUAUGUUGAAGGUACAUGCACUGCGUAGGACAGUCAACAGUGAGGUGAGACAGAUAACGUGAGUAUGAAGGUCACUGGAAAGGAACAAAUCUCUUGCAGGUAUGAUGGAAGGGAGACACAACUACUUCUUAUUCUUCUAAAUAACUUUACUUGGACAUUACAUAUAACAGGUAUACAUCCAAAGUAAAAUACAAUAAGCGACUUUAGAAAAACCUGAUUGUCCCGAGUGUCCUAAUUGACAGUGACAUGACAGAUUACGGAUCAAAAGAUUCUUAAUUGUCGUAAAAAAAGAUGAUCACCUCAACUUCCACUUGUUUAGCUCAUUGAGCUCAGCCACUUAAUAAUAAUAAUAAUGAGACUUGGAGGAGUAAACAAUUGUUUACUCCUCCAAUUUCGGUACCUUUUCAUUAACGAAGUAGCGUUGCAUUUCGGUACCUUUUCGUCGGCGCCUAAUCGUUACAUACUGUGUAGCUCGGGAAUACUCCAGAAACAACAAAAACUGCUCACUAAACAAAGAUUAAGAAAUUCCAGCAAAUACAAACAAUUAAUGUUGGCAUUGUGAAGCUAUAGCUUUGCAGUUUAUAAAACAACCGCAUGAUGGACAACCAACCAAAUAAUAAAUGCAAAUAAAUAACACAAUCAAC